rnacentral:lncRNA from 1 species
AUUAUGUUAAUACAUUGAAGGGCAAACAUCUCUUUUAUAACAUCUCUCCCAUCCUAUCACUCUAUGCACCUUUACUGCUUCUAAAUGCCUAAAUGCCACCUCUCCAUGUAAAGACAGCUUUGCUUCUGUCUCUCCACCAUGAGACAGCCUUCAAACAGGAAGAAAUCAGGACACUAAGGUUCUCUGAAGCCAUGCUCUAGACCCACCAGAGGCUAACGGGAGAGAAUGACAUGGCAUUCAAACUGAGCCUUUGUGUGACCUUGAAGAGUGUUCAGCGCAGCGGAACUGAGGGCCUGGAACUGCCUUGAAAGCCAGUGCAAAGCAAUCUCCUCCUGCAGAAAGGGCGGUCUUGUGAUCGGAGCCACGGGAUAGGGACAUCUCUCUCUCCUGUUACCAGAAGGACCCGGCUGUAGAGCCCACACUAGAAAAGGCCGUUUGCAGAAAGAAAAAGGAACAGACAUUCAGAACGGGCCACAGUCUGCACACAGGAACCUGCCUGAUGGGAAACAUGGGGACUGGAUGAGGAUGCAGCAAGCCUACUGAGGAUUCCUUCCCAGAAUGGCAUCCGCCAAGAGCCUGUGUUUUCUGCUAAUGCUGACGUCGGGCGCAGUGUCUUCCUGCCUCUUAAGUCUCCUCCACAACUGCAUCCCCUGGGCCCCACCAGCCCCAGUCUACACCCUUCUGACUCAAUAAAUGCUAAUAUUUAACCAGGAGAUAAGGGCCUUGGUCUGCUUGACACGUUAGUUUUGUUUUUUAAGACAGAUAUCUUUCAAGAAAGCAUAUUUCUGACUGUAUCAACCAUCUAACACCACUGAUAAUAUCUGAUGCUGUAGGCUACGAAGUGACAGAGUUAAAUACUUUGAUCUUCCAAUCCCCCUUCCGUCUUUGCACAAUCAUUUCCUUCUUUGUGCUAAAUAUUAACUGGGUCAGAUGGAUCAUUCUGAUCUGUGUCACUCAGUAGAGAUUCAAGUCCCGCCUUCAGAUGGAAAGUCCAAAGAAGCCAAGAUGAAUCUCAAGUUCAAUUAUAAAUAACCAGCAAAAAAGGGAAAGGAAAUGAGAUCAAACUUAAGUCAUUUUCUUCAGGACAAUUUUCUCUUCUUUCUUUUUCAUUGUGUACAAUUUCACAUCAUGAGAACUUCUGUUGCAAAUCAGAUCCAGUUCUGCCUUUGAAAGAGGCAUCAAAAUACAGCUCAUGGGAAGAAGCGGCGUCUCACCUAUGAGGAUGAACUUGAGGACCAGCUGGUGGCUGAGGAGGGAGGGUUGCUUGAGUACAGGAGUCCAAGAUCAGCCUGGGCAACGUGGCUGAGAAUUUAGUGCAUUGUUCUUCUUCUUUUUAAUAGGUAGUCUCCCUCUGUCACCCAGACUGGAGUGCAGUGGCGCCAUCAUAACUCACUGCAGCCUUGAACUCCUAGGCUCAAGCGAUGCUCCCACCUCAGCCUCCUGUGCCGCUCCCCACCCCAAGAUGCCUAAACUUCGGUGGGCAUGAGUCACAGGGGGAGCUCCCCAAAAUCUACAAUUCUGCCAGGUUCCCACCCUUAGAUGCUCAGUCCAGAAGAACUUCAGGUGAUCCUAUUGAAAAUGAGUGGGGCCCAGUCUUUGAGAAACACUUUGGCAAAUCAGAGCAGAAAACCACUGCCUUUAGCAGCCCAUUAGCCUCAGUGAGGACAAAAAGGGGGUUGAGAUGUGGAGACAUAUAGGGAGUAAUACAGACCUCUCAUUUAAGAAGUUUGUGGGCCAGCCACGGUGGCUCAUGCCUGUAAUCCCAGCACUUUGGGAGGACGAGAUGGGAGAAUCAUGAGGUCAGGAGUUCGAGACCAGACUGGCCAACAUGGUGAAACCCCGUCUCCCUCUGUUGCCCAGGCUGGAGCGCAGUGGUGCAAUCAUAGCUCACUGCAGCCUUGAAUUCCUGGGCCCAAGCUAUGCUCCCACCUGAGUGGAUCCCACCCCAAGAUGCUCAGUCCAGAAAACUACAGGCAUGCACCACCAUGCCCAGCUAAUUAAAAAAAAAAUUUUUUUUUUAGAGAUAGGAUCUUGCUAUGUUGCCCAGACUGAUUGCCAACUCCUGGACUCAAGCAAUCCUCUCAACCUCAGCCUCCCAAAGCACUGAGAUUGCAGGUGUGAGCCUCCAUACCUAGCCCUAGUGCAUUGUUCUUGAUGUUUAUUUUGUAUUAUAUAUAAUAUGUGUGUGCAUAUAUAUAUAUAUAUAAUUUCAUAAAUGUAUAUUUUUCUUCCAGAAAAUUCGGGCAAUAGGGAUAAGCAGAAAGGGGGAAAAAGGCACUGGUAGUCCUCCCACUCAAAGACUUAGCUCCAAGAGUGCCUGACAGCUCCUGCUUCCCAGCAGUCACACCCUUGUGUUGUGACCCACAUGGGGUCAGGGAUGGCUGAUGGUAUAUGAUGAAAGUGACCAAAGGUGACUUCUGAGGCUAGAUCAUGAAUGACACUGCAGCUUCCACCUAUAACCAGGGUUUUCAACAGCAGUGCUGUUAACACUGAACACUUUGGACCAGAUAGUUAUUUAUCGUGGGGGCUGUUCUGCACAUUGUAAGACGUUUAGCCGCAUACCUGGCCUACCCAUCAGAUGUCAGUAGCACCCUUUGCUCAAUAGUAAACAUAAAAUUAUGUCUCCAGGCUUUGCCAAAUGUCCUCAGGAUGAGGGAGUGUAAGAGUCCAUUCUCACACUACUAUAAAGAAAUACCUGGGACUGGGUAAUUUAUAAGAAAAGAGGUUCACUUGGCCCAUAGUUCUGCAGGCACAGGAACAGGGAGCGUGGCAGCAUCUGCUUCUGGGGGCCUCAGGGAGCUGUUACUCAUGGCGGACAGCAAAGCGGAAGCAGGCACCAAACAUGGCAAAAGCAGGAGCGAGACAGCCGAAGACGCCACACACUUUUAAGCCAGAUCUCAUGAGAACUCACUAUCAUGAGCAGGGCCCCAAAGGAUGGUGCUAAACCAGUCACGAGAAAUUCACCAGGAUGACAAUUUGUCAUGAGAUUUGGACGUGCACACAGAUCCAAACCAUAUUAGGGGGCAAAACUGUUCUCAGCUGAGAACCACAGACCUAGACUCUUGGCUUGCUAGCUCGGGGGAAAACAGCCAGCAUGCCAUGUGGCACAAGCAGCACGGUGAAGAAGAGCACAUGGAGAGGAGCUGAGGUCUCCAGACAGCGGCUGGCACCCGCCGGCCGUCAUCGUGAGGGUGUGGCCUGCAGAGUGGACCCUUUUGCCUCGCCAAGCCUCCAGGUAACCGCCAGCUUCAUGAGACACCCCAAGACACUCCCACAUUCCUUGCCUGCGAAAACGUGAGGGAUCAUAAAUAAUGAUUAUGCUUUAGAAGCCACCAAGUUCGUGGGUAAUUUGCUUAAUUGACUUCUUUGUUGAGUAAUUACUCUUGUUUGAAUACUGAGUCCAAAUUCCUUUUCCUUCUUUGGAAACAUUUCUCUAGGGUCUAGGUCAAAGAGUGAAAAAUGGGAUCAGCUGGAUUGUGUGCUUAUUACAUAAAAUCAUCCUGUGGAAUUAAAUUAUUUGUAACAUUUCAAUUAGUGGAUGGAGAAUACGUUGCAAACACCAGCCGCUGAGGUGUAUGGUGGAACAAGAGAUGCCGGCCCUAGAGUGAGCCUCAACCACAGCGUUCUAAGUUUUGUGAACUGCGCUUCUGUCUCCAAAGCAACAAGAUCAUCAUUUUUAGGAACCAACUCCUCUUUGCCUGGCCAGGUCCAUAGAUGAAUUAAUAAUACAUUUUAGAGGGUCUCAGCUCCUUGUUCAGCCACAUGUAAUGAGUAAACUGAGGAACAGUAGACUCAAGUGAAUUAUGCGAAUUCGGAUUGAUUAUACAUGGGUCUGACCUUACCAUUCACAAAACCAGAUCUUGAUGGUUGUUUCCCAACCAGGCUGAAUGUGCUGCUCCUGCAGUGAGUCGUGUAUUGAGAUGGGAAGUCAACUUUGUCAAUCCCUAGAGCAAUUGGUUGGAGCCUGCUGCUGUGUCUGCUCCCACUGCUGUGGAUUAAACUGUGGGGCCAGUUGGCCCUGACAUUUUGGAAAGAUAGCUUGGGGUCUUUGUUGUUGUGUUUAAAAAAUAUAUAUAUCAUUUGACGAUGAAGUAAAUUCCCUGCAACUCCCUUUAUGGGCAACAAUGAACAGAAAGGGGUUUUCAGCUUCGGUUUUUAAUAUUGUCAACAAAAAAUUGUUAUUUUAUUCCUCACUGUUGUCAACAAAUAUGAAGAUUAUUCCAUUAGCAAACUGUCUGCUGAUUUUAGAAUUACUGAAAUCCGAUUAUCCAGUUCUACAGAUAGAAAUGUUAUCCCAAUGAUUAUCCUGAGAAUUUAUUAUGGGAGAGAAAACCAGAAACUAGGGAGCAAAGAACUAUAGAUUCUAAUUUCCUUUGUUUGGUUUUAAAGUUCUACCAGCCAACAGAUUUCCUCAAGUAUUUAUUUGAGGAAAAGGACAGAGAGGAAGGAAAGGGGAAUUUUUUAAAAAGUACUUUGGAAUAUCCUGGUAUGAGCAGGGCACACUGCCAGAUUCUUAGCUUAUAUUUUCUCAUUUAGCCUUCACUAAGGAGGCAGUGGUCAUUCUUCCCAGUUUCAGAUGAGGAAACUGAGGCAUUCAUAGCUUCAGGAACCGUCCAGAUUUCUUAAUGAUUGAAGCAGGAUUUGCCUCUAGGUCUGCCUUAUUCCUAACUGAGAUGUUAAACCAAGCGGAUGAUGUUCCUUUCUGUAUUAUUUGAGCUCUUGACCGCAAACAACUGAAAACAACUCGGGCAAAGAUAAGCAGAAAGGAAUUGACUGGAAAGAAGAGGGGUGGAUGAGGAGUAUUCAAGGAUGUAAGUGUGGUUCAUGGAAUCAAUAGAAGACUGAAGAACCAAGCUUGGGAACCAGCAGAGACGAGGGAGCUGUGAAACCCAAUGACACAGCAACGACCUCCCCCAGGACUGUCUGUGCUUCUGAGAGUAACCUUGGCCCUUGCUCCCAGCCCUUGCCCAAAAGUCAGAGUGCAGAUGGGCAAAAUGAAGGGCCAGGCUCCGGGCUUAUGCCCACUCCUGUGGAUAUAUCCCUCCAGGAAGGAGGAUGGCCCGACCCCUUCUGCUUCUAUCUUGGGAGAUAGGCCUCUGAAUUCACCCUCCCACCAAGACCUCUUAUAUAUAGUAGGGGAAAAGUGGAGUCACUGUACCAGGUGGUAAAACACAGCAAAUGUCCAUCAAGCUCUUGAAAUCUAAAUGUCUUCUUUAUGAAAAAACUGCAGAGGUGCAAUGUAAGCUUGACAAGUCUACCUGGGAUUAGAUGUGUGUUCCUGCCUAGAAGGGACUGUGUCUGUCUUGGUAUCCCCCAGAUUUUGGUUCAGGGUGAAUGUCCCAAUACAAAUUCUCUGAAUCAAGAAAUGAAUUUUGCCCACUGUGUCUCUAACUACUUCAUUCACUGACAGUCCACUUACAGUUCUGGGCAAAUCAGACAUACUUAGCUCUCUUUACAGAGUUAAAAUAAUAUAAACAGGGAGGAAGAAAACUCCCUAGUGUUCUCAGGCAGGGUUAUGACCAAAUGCAUUUAGUGCAUAAGCAAGAAAGCUCCAGAUCACCCUAUGGGUCACACUUUCCUUCAGAAAUUUUGCAAAUUAUGUUUCUGUUUGUUUGUUUGUUUGCUUAAGGAUAAUGUAUCAUCAAG